rnacentral:rRNA from 1 species
AUUGAACGCUGGCGGCAGGCCUAACACAUGCAAGUCGAGCGAGCGGCGGACGGGUGAGGAAUGUAUGGGGACUGCCCGAAAGAGGGGGAUAACUACUGGAAACGGUAGCUAAUACCGCAUACCAUCGGAUAACCCAGAUGGGAGUAGCUAGUAGGUGAGGUAAUGGCGCACCAAGGCGACGAUCCCUAGCUGGUCUGAGCGGAUGAUCAGCCACACUGGGACUGGGACACGGCCCAGACUCCUACGGAGGCAGCAGUGGGGAAUAUUGCACAAUGGGCGCAAGCCUGAUGCAGCCAUGCCGCGGGUAUGAAGAAGGCCCUAGGGUUGUAAAGUACUUUCAGCCGGGAGGCGGUACCGACAGAAGAAGCACCGGCUAACUCCGUGCCAGCAGCCGCGGUAAUAC